rnacentral:rRNA from 1 species
UUGACCUCGGAUCAGGUAGGAAUACCCGCUGAACUUAAGCAUAUCAAUAAGCGGAGGAAAAGAAACCAACAGGGAUUGCCCUAGUAACGGCGAGUGAAGCGGCAACAGCUCAAAUUUGAAAUCUGGCUUCGGCCCGAGUUGUAAUUUGUAGAGGAUGCUUUUGGUGAGGUGCCUUCUGAGUUCCCUGGAACGGGACGCCAGAGAGGGUGAGAGCCCCGUAUAGUCGGCCACCGAUCCUCUGUAAAGCUCCUUCGACGAGUCGAGUAGUUUGGGAAUGCUGCUCAAAAUGGGAGGUAUAUCUCUUCUAAAGCUAAAUAUAGGCCAGAGACCGAUAGCGCACAAGUAGAGUGAUCGAAAGAUGAAAAGCACUUUGAAAAGAGGGUUAAAUAGCACGUGAAAUUGUUGAAAGGGAAGCGCUUGUGACCAGACUUGUGCCGGGCUGAUCAUCCAGUGUUCUCACUGGUGCACUCGACCCGGCUCAGGCCAGCGUCGGUUUUCGCGGGGGGAUAAAAGCUUCGGGAACGUGGCACCUCCGGGUGUGUUAUAGCCCGUUGCUUAAUACCCCCGUGGAGACCGAGGUUCGCGCUCUGCAAGGACGCUGGCAUAAUGGUCAUCAGCGA